ACACCUGACCUGGGGGGCUGAGAACAUAAAGGCUGCGGUAGAGCAAGGAGCGAAGAGGAAGAACCAGAGCAACCCCGCUGGAAAUAAGACUCUUUGAACAAGAUGUGGGCAAGAUGAUCUCCAGGAUUGGCUUCAGCUAGAGCCUGCUGCUGUCACUGCUGUAUCGUGUUCCACUGGACGCCAAGUCCAUUCUUGUCCACUGCACACUAGAUGGAACUCGUGCGGAUGGCUUCGUAGUGCUGUGCUUAACCCCUGCGCCAUCCUGGAGGCCCCAAACCUUGCUUUUAUAUCAGCUUCAGAUAUUUUAGGGUCUGGCUGCGGUGGACACUGUCGGUGAAAGGCUGGGAGUCCCGGAGCCUGCAACAGACCCGCCUGUCCUCCUGCCCUAGCCCGCCUGCCCCAGCCCACUGUGACCUGCUCAUUAGCUGGAAUUAUGUUGGCACAAGGCCUGGGGGUGGACUACAAGCUUCAGGGAGUGUCUGAUGGACUUUCUCUGGCCAGGAGCCUGACUUGUGCGCCCCAGAUGACCAGGUCCCGGCAUGUAUCACUGCAUGUAUCAUUACAACGUGAUUUUAAUUUUGUCUGGUAUUUAAUAUUUAAAUAAAUUAACUCAUGUUCUGUUUCUGUCUUGAAUGUCACUCAAGAGUAUGAAGGCCAGACUAGUCCACAUUUUGGAUGCAGCUUGAGGGUUUUAUUUGCACUGCUGUAUAAUAUUCCACUCGGUGUACAGUUGUUGUUUACACUGUCUUCUACUCUCACAUAAGGGUUAAGGAGAGGAUGCUUACAUCCAUCGCUAAAAUUUUAUAUUCUACUUCAUCAUUUAACACUGCAAUGUAAGUGCUCACCACAGCAUUAAAAGCUACUAAGUGUCACUGUAUGUAUCCAGUGUUUAUAUUUAAUUUUGUAUAU